UCUAGUUCCAUCAUGUAGCUGCAAUUUUUAUGAUUUCCCUUUUCUUUACAGUUGAACUGUAUUUCACAGUAUAUAUUUGUAGCACAAUAAAUAAAAGACCCAGAGACUGAUAUUGGGGUUCAAGCUUCAAGCUGAAGAUCAGAGAAGCAAAGCAGCCAAGCCACUAGCUCUUACCUCUACCAAUGCUCAGACCAAAGGGGUCAUCUUCAGACUGCUCCUGACUUCACUGCUCCUCAGAUUCACUCAGUACUCCUGUAUUUAUUCAAAAUCAUCUCCUGAAGAGAGGAUUUAUUGGAAGCCACAGAACAACAAGUAUUGCGAGACUCUUCUUAUAUGAGACCUUCAUCUUUGCCUUUUGUUGCUGGUGGUGCAUUGUCGGAUCCUACGCUGGUGAACUUUCACUUUAUCUAUCUUCAUCCUUCGGACUCCUCUUCACUCAACAUAGUGUGUUUCGGCACCCCUUCUUCAUGACUUGUUCGUCUAUCUUUGUUUUAGACUUUGUUCCAGUCUGUGUCUCCUGCCAUUAAGAGAAUGUGGAACUUAACCCUCCCAUUGUAAGGAGCCUCAGGUGAAGGUUCUCCUGGCACUUCAACACCCAGAAUGUGGCUCUCCUUGAGAGGUCUCUUGGGCCCGACCCACAGAAAUUCCUAAGGCAUCAGUUUAACAGGCACUCCUCCCACCAGGGUGUGCUUCCCAGAGAUGUCAUCUUGCGAGAGUUGGUAGUCAAUGACAGGCCAGCACCCAGGAGCAUGCGCAUGUGCAGCAGGCACUUCCUCCCUGAGCCAAGCCACCAAGCCUGUCUGGACGCCCAGAGACUGCUGAUGGAGAGACACCUGACCCAGAGACACCAAUGAGAAAGGACAACUCAACAGAGUCAGCACCUGAGCCAAUAGGACCUAGGGAGGGGGGUAUAAAGGCAGGUCUGACUCAUUUGAUAAACGAGUCUGCAGCAUGCUCUGCUACUCACUGACUCCCAGUGCCUAGUCGUUGGUGCUGUGUCUUCUGACCUCUCCUCCAAGGGGUGUCCAAGCGGGGUAACCUCCAACAAAUGUCAACUUGAUUGGAUUUUGAAUCAUCUAGGAGACCGAGUCACGCUUCUGUGCAUGUUGGUUUCCAAAGUCUAACAGUGGAAGACCCACCAUGAUUGUGAGUGGCAUCAUCCCACCGGCCAGAAUAAAGGGAGAAAGAGAAGAAAUUCAGUUGAGGUCAGGUGUUCCUAUUCCAGAUUGCUGACCCUCAAGGAAGUGAGCCGCCUUGCUCUUCUAUGCUGUCUCAUUAUGACUGAGGCCCAACAGAUCCAGAAGACGUUGAAAUCAGACCUCUGAAAAU
rnacentral:lncRNA from 1 species